CCUUAGCUCAGUUGGUCAGAGCGGUCGGCUCAUAACCGAUUGGUCGAAGGUUCGAGUCCUUCAGGGUCC
rnacentral:tRNA from 1 species